GGGGAAAGUGAUCUAGCCACUUUCACCGGAUCCACGCCAGGGCUUGCCAAUUUACUGGAUUCUCCCCGGACCAGUCUCUGCGACGAGACACUAUUCUCGGAGGUCCAACUUCACAGUGAGGAAGGCAAGACACCUAAACAGAAGGUCAUCUUCCCUUAGAUUUCUUCUAAGGCUUAGAAGAACAGAAGGGACAUAAAUGCCUUUAAUUUGCAGGCUGAGUUGGAUGAAAGGGAGGUUUUAAGACUCUUAGAGGCCGUCUUAGCUGAAUUAUGGAGCUGCUCCCUAAGAGACGAACCUCAGGCAAUUCUCUAAAAAGACCAUCUGGGCGGUCAAGAGCUGAACGCCGCUUGGUUUUCCCUUCUCCUUGCUUUGACUGGGACCCAAAAUAUGACAGUCGUCUGAUUCAAAUGUAGGGGGGCGUUUCUCAUUCCCGGAUGUCCUCCCAAAGGCAGAUACCCAUGCCCUUACCCGCGGCGCGUGAAUACGAAGGGAGGCACUGCUCGGGCUCGAGACCGCACCAGAGACUGCUCGGAGCCUGCCGCCUCUGGGCCGCCGCCCCCCGGAGUGGAGGCAAAGGGCCAGAGGCCCCGAGCUUUGGAGCCGCUGGCGCCCAUGUCAGCGCCGCGGGCGCAUGGCGGACCCAGCGGCCGCUCCGCUCUCACAGCGCGGCGGGCGCGACCAUGCCCUGCCCCAGCUUCCACUCGCAGGUGCCGCCGCCGCCGCCUUCCGCAGGCUCUGCUGUCUCCACGGAAACCUCACUUCCGCUUCCGCGCGUCCUGCACGGUGCCUCCUCUGAGUGGCUAAAGGUCUCGUCAGUCUGUGGUGUAGAACCAAUGGCCACUCUCAGAGGCUGACCACCACAGGAUGCGCUGCCUCCAGGUCCCAGAAGCCUAUGGGUCCCAAGGGUCAGCUGGGACAGCUCCCUUCCAGAAAGGCGGAGGUAAUGUGUUGUUGUUGACUUUAAGGUCGGACCCGGUAUAGUUGUCUCUACGUCCCUGACACGCCCAAAACUCCGGCCCAGUAGCAAUAGUCAAUUAGGUCACCCCUCCACCCCUAAGGGACCUUAGGCCUGUCUGAGGCUAAGGUUGGCUGUUUUCACAACUGUGUCUUUGCAGUUGUCACAUUUGCCUGUAAAGAAACUACGGAUCUUGCUUAAUGUUUUUGUUUUCUUUUUUCUUUUGGAGACAGGGUCUCACUAUGUAGCCUUAGCUGGCCUGGCACUUGCCAUGUAUAAAUGGCUGACGCUCAAAUGCCUGUCUCCCGAAUACUGGGAUUAAAGGAGUGACCAACCGCACAGGGAGCCAAACUUCUUUUUAAAACUUUUUUGAUCAAUUUCUUAAGAGUAUAUUUGAGGUCUGAAGGAACCUAAACUAAGUGUUGUAAGUUCACCAGAGAACAUUCUUCAGGAAAAUAAUUAUUACCAGCUUUCCCCUGGUAGCAUGUGAAGUGUGGGACCCACGAGUAGUUUUUUGGAGAAGGGGUUACUGCUAUGGUUUCUCUGAGUUGGCCUGGAGAAAAAAGUUUCCUGUGUAGUAACUGUAGCUUAUUCUUGUCUCUUCAUGACCUGAGCCCUGGAGGGUUGAAAGACACCUGAAUCCACAGGCAUACAUUUCCUGAACAUAUUGGUCCCACUGCGACCUUGGAGAGGGUGCACUCUGGAUGUGUCACACCCCCAUCCCUUCCCCACAUUCAGUUGAGGCCACAAAACAUUACAUACAUUCAUACACUUCCAUCAAAAAUAUCUGAGGGAGACUCUGGCUUUGGCAAACAAGAAGAGGGUCUGGUCCAGCAACCUUUCCCUUAGAGGAGGCACUGACUGAGCCACUGUAGUUGUUGUACUGGCCAGCCCUCUCUGACCCCAGGGUGUUUGUUUGGAAGUCAGAAGGCACGGUAAGAGGGAACCCCAGACUCUACCUUAAUUGCUUGUAUUAUUCUGAGCAGCUACCCUUGGCUCUGAUAGGGCUAUCCUGAGACCCAUUCAUGACUCAAAACAAUCUUUCUCCAUAGGUAAGGUCUCUUACCCGUGAAAAUAUAACCUUGUUUUGUCUGUAGAGUCUCUAAGAUUCUCACAGCUGCGACCCUGUGACUUGAGCAGCUACGCAGAGUAUGACCCAGUACAUACGGGCAGAGGGAUGCAAAGCCCCGCCCCACUAUAUCCACAGGUAGACGGCUGGCUCUUUCCCUGUUCUCUGGGCUCAUCCCGGUCAGCAGAGGAGGACCUCCAUGCACACGCACUCCUCAGGCCCCACAGGCCCUGUCACACUCACACGGCACGCUCUUUGCACUGCCUGUUCUCCUCCUGUCAUCCAUGGAGACCCAAGGUCACCCCAAAGGACAGGCGUGCAGAGCCUCCUGGAUCUUCUGGCGACAACGAGAAUACUUCUGCAGGAUCUGGCGAAGGUGUUCCUCUUCUUCCCGCUGCAGGAUUCGUAGGAAAUUGUGCAGUUCAGGCAUGCUGAAGGCAUCCCACUGGAAAGGGCAGAGGAGAGAUACACGGGCUGCAGCAAUGAAUAGCUAAGUUGGCAGACCCUCCUCCAAGACUGGUCCAUGAUGGUUCUCCCAUGAGCAGGUCUGCGCUCCUGACAUUACCUCCUUUUCAUUUUAUUAUUAUCUUAUGUGUAUGCAUGUUUCCACAUAGAGGUCAGAAGAAGGUAUCAGACCCCCCAGAAUUAAGAGUUACAGAUGGUUGUGAGCUGCCAUCUGGGUGCUAGGCAUCAAACCCAUGUCCUCUGUAAGAACAACAUGUACUCUUAACCACUAAGCCAACUCCUUUUGUUGUUGUUUAAUGGUUUUAUAAUUUAUUUAUGUGCAUUGGUAUUCUGCCUGCAUGUAAGACUGUGAGGGCAUCAGAUCCCCUGGAACUGGAAUUACAGACAGUUGUGAGCUGCCAUGUGGGUAUUGGGAACUGAACCCCAGGUAUUGAACCCGGGUCCUUCAGAAGAGCAGCCGGUACUUUUAAUUGUUGACCCAUCUCUCCAGCCCUGCUAAGCCAACUCUUUAAGUCCCCUAUUUUUUUUGUUGUUUUUUUGAGUCAUAGUCUUUCUACAUAUCAAAGGUUGGCCUUUAACAUGCUAUGUAGUCCAGGCUAGUCUCAAACUUGUGAUUCUCCUGCUUCUGCUUCCGGAACGCUGAGAUUACAAGUAUUUAUCACAAUGCUAGCCUUGGUGUUAGGCUUUUCACUAAAUGGUCUGUGCUAGGAUCCUCAUGAGCAGUCUGUAUAGAAAACAGAUCCUACAAAACAGUCUCCUUGUAGUGAAAUAUCUCUAUCUGUUGUUAGGUGUAUUCUCCUGCAUAGUCUCAUAUUCUCUCCCUCAAUAUAAUGGGCUCUGAUUCAAACCUAGGGUCUCAUAAAUGUUAGCAAAUUACCUUUUACCAAGCUACAUUCCCAUACAGCCCUUGUACCCACCCUAUUCUUUUUCUUUUCUUUUUUUUGCUGCCGAGCUCUGUGCAUGCUGAGCGUCUAUUCUUACCACUAAGCCACAACUAACCCCGAUGUAAAAAGUCAUUGUCCUUUUUUUUCUUUCUUUUUACAUUACUGGAAAUUGCACUGUGCUAUCUAGUUUUCGGCUAACUUGACACAAGUUAAAGUUAUCUGAAAAUAGGGAAUAUUAAUUCUCUAUUAAUUGAAAACAAUGCCCCCACAAGCUAUAGCUUUAAGGCAUUUUCUUAAUGAGUGACUGAUAGGGGAGGGCCUAGCCCAUUGUGUAUGGUGCCACCCCUGGGCUGGUGGUCAUGGGUUCUAUAAGAAAGCAGGCUGAGCAAGCCAGUAAGCAGCGCCCACCAUGGCUUCCACUUCAGCUCCUGCCUUCAGGUUCCUGUCCUGUUUGAGUUCCUGCCCUGACUUCCUUCAAUGAUGGAUUAUCAUAUGGAACUGUAAUCCAAAUAAAUAAACCUUUUCCCCACCAACUUGGUUUUGGUCAUAGUGUUUCAUCAAAGCAAUAGAAGACCUAACUAAGACAUGAACAAAGGGCUAAGCUUGCUCAACACUUUACCACUGAACUACAGUCCCAAGCCUUUUUACUUUUGAGACAGGAUCUCAUUAAGUUAGCGUAGAUUGCCCUUUAAGUCACUCUGUAGCCCAGGAAGGCUUUGAACUAGUGAUCCUCCCACUUUAGCAUUCCAAGUAGUUGAGAGUAUAAGCCACUGUCCCUAGGCCUUGCUAGGAAGAGUGGUUUGUUUGUUUGUGAGAUAGGAUCUUGCUAUACAGGCCAGCCUAGUCUUGAACUUGAGGCAAUCCUCCUGCUUUAGCUUCCCAAGUAGAUGAGAUUAUAGGCCUGUGCCAUCUGUCCUAGCUGGCAGACCGUCUCAAUGCUUCCAAGAGGCCUUUAUGUUUUUCAGGUUAUACCUGCAAAGCUUUUUUCUUUUUCUUUUUGUUUUAAGGUUUGUUUCAGGGGCUCGAAAGAUAGUUCAGUGGUUAAGAGCAUUGGUUGCUCUUGAAGAGGACCAGAGUUCAAUUCCUAGACCAACAUGGUGGGUUCCAUCAUCUGUAACUCUGUUCUAGGAGAGCCAACACCUUCUUCUUACUUCUGUGGGCAUGUGUACACAUAUAUACAUGCAGGCAAAACAUUCAUACACAAAGUCUUUAAAAAAAAAUCUGUUUUAUGUGUAUAAGUGUGUUGCUUGCACGCACGUAUGCACAUUGUGUGUAUGGUCUGCAAUUAUUGGCAACUGUAAGCUUUUACAUGCGUCUAAGAACCAAAUCCAGGUCCUCUGCAUGAACAAUACAUGUUUUUAACCACUGAGCCAUCUUUCCUAUUGUCCUAGUUGUGUGCUUGCGCAUGCGCGUGGGGUCACAGGCACAUAACUCCAGGCACCCUCUGAUGCCAGCAGAGGAAGACAAAUCCUUUGGCGCUGGAGUUGCAGGUGAGUGGGAGCCACUUGAUAUGAGUGCUUCAAACAGAAUGUGGAUCCUCAGGAAAUUCAGUGAGCACUCUGCACUGUGGAGCCAUCUCUGAGCCCAUAUAUAUGGAGCUCUGAACUGGUCUUGGCUCACUAUGAGUUAGUCAAGUUCUCAUUUUCAACACCAGGAAACAACAAAGCCUGAAGACAAUUCUUCCU
rnacentral:lncRNA from 1 species